rnacentral:rRNA from 1 species
GAGGAAAGGGGGGGGUGUGCUUAACACAUGCAAGUCGAACGGAAAGGCCUCUUUCGGGGGGUACUCGAGUGGCGAACGGGCGAGUAACACGUGAGUAACCUGCCCUUGACUUUGGGAUAACUUCAGGAAACUGGGGCCAAUACCGGAUAGGAGCUCCUGCUGCAUGGUGGGGGUUGGAAAGUUUCGGCGGUUGGGGAUGGAUUCGCGGCUUAUCAGCUUGUUGGUGGGGUAGUGGCUUACCAAGGCUUUGACGGGUAGCCGGCCUGAGAGGGUGACCGGCCACAUUGGGACUGAGAUGCGGCCCAGACUCCUACGGGAGGCAGCAGUGGGGAAUAUUGCACAAUGGAUGGAGGCCUGAUGCAGCAACGCCGUGUGCGGGAUGACGGUCUUCGGGUUGUAAACCGCUUUCGCCCAUGACGAAGCUUUGUGUGACGGUAGUGAGUAAAGAAGCACCGGCUAACUACGUG